AGCAGCCGCGGUAAUUCCAGCUCCAAUAGCGUAUAUUAAAGUUGUUGCAGUUAAAAAGCUCGUAGUUGAAUUUCGGGAUUGACGUGAUGGUCGUGCCUUAAGGGGUAUGAACUGUCGCUGUUGAUUUCUCACCUUCUGGAGAAACUUGAUGUCCUUAAUUGGGUGUCUUGCGGAUCCAGGACCUUUACCUUGAAAAAAUUAGAGUGUUUAAAGCAGGCAUUUUUGCUCGAAUACAUUAGCAUGGAAUAAUAGAAUAGGACGGCAUGGUUCUAUUUUGUUGGUUUCUAGGAUCACCGUAAUGAUUAAUAGGGAUAGUUGGGGGCAUUAGUAUUCAAUUGUCAGAGGUGAAAUUCUUGGAUUUAUUGAAGACUAACUACUGCGAAAGCAUUUGCCAAGGAUGUUUUCAUUAAUCAAGAACGAAAGUUAGGGGAUCGAAGACGAUCAGAUACCGUCGUAGUCUUAACCAUAAACUAUGCCGACUAGGAAUCAGACGAUGUUAAUUUUUUAAUGACU
rnacentral:rRNA from 1 species